rnacentral:rRNA from 1 species
UACGUAGGGGGCAAGCGUUAUCCGGAUUUACUGGGUGUAAAGGGGGCGCAGACGGCGAUGCAAGCCAGGAGUGAAAGCCCGGGGCCCAACCCCGGGACUGCUCUUGGAACUGCGUGGCUGGAGUGCAGGAGGGGCAGGCGGAAUUCCUGGUGUAGCGGUGAAAUGCGUAGAUAUCAGGAGGAACACCAGUGGCGAAGGCGGCUUGCUGGACGAUGACUGACGUUGAGGCUCGAAAGCGUGGGGAGCAAACAGG